AACGAACGCUGGCGGUGCGCUUAACACAUGCAAGUCGAACGGGGUUAUAGUUUGAAUUAGGCUUCGGCCUUUGGAUUACUAUAACUUAGUGGCGAACGGGUGAGUAACACAUGGGUAACCAACCCUUAGGACUGGGAUACUCCCGGGAAACCGGGCACAAUACCGGAUAUGAUUACGAGGUGAAACUCCUUGUGAUAAAAGCUCCGAGCAAUCGUAGUACCUAAGGAUGGACCUGUGGCCUAUCAGCUAGUUGGUGAGGUAACGGCUCACCAAGGCAAAGACGGGUAGCCGAACUGAGAGGUUGAUCGGCCACACUGGAACUGAGAUACGGUCCAGACUCCUACGGGAGGCAGCAGUGAGGAAUUUUGCGCAAUGGGCGAAAGCCUGACGCAGCGACACCGCGUGGGGGAAGAAGGCCCUCGGGUUGUUAAACCCCUUUCGUGAGGGAAAAAGCCCCGAGCAAUCGGGGUGAUGGUACCUCAGGAAGAAGUCACGGCUAACUCUGUG
rnacentral:rRNA from 1 species